GUUCAGUCCUCCCNGGCCCACCACUUCGCAAUCCGCAAGGAUUGUCGGAUCUCCCCGAUAUCCGUCGGGAAACACUAUCAGGGGCCGUAGCUCAGCUGGGAGAGCGCCUGCUUUGCAAGCAGGAUGUCGUCGGUUCGAUCCCGUCCGGCUCCACCAACCAUCUUCUGUGAAGGUGGGGCGUGUCGAGUAGAGGAUGAUCGCCCGCGGUCAGUCAUUCGAAAAAGAGUUUGCGGCGCGCUUCGUGCUCUCCGCCUGUUCUGUUUGACAUCGUAAAGAGAAGAUUUGUUCGAACUUCACGGCUGCAAGGCUGUGAUUUGUCGCAAGGACGCUCAAUCCCUUGCCUAUGAUGGGUUUGCCUAACCGCGCCCUCGAACGGAUCUCGAGAAGCUGGUCUUUUUGUGCCAAUUCCAUUGAAGCAAGCCCCGCACAGGGUUUUGCUCAGGCGGCGAUCCUUCGGAUCGCGCAGAUGGGUAUUGGCAAUGAGAACGAUCAAGUGUCUUAAGGGCAAUUGGUGGAUGCCUUGGCAUGCACAGGCGAUGAAGGACGUGAUACGCUGCGAUAAGCUACGGGGAGGUGCGAAUACCCUUUGAUCCGUAGAUCUCCGAA
rnacentral:misc_RNA from 1 species